UACGUAGGUGACCAGCGUUGUCCGGAUUUACUGGGCGUAAAGAGCGCGCAGGCGGUCGUUCAAGUCGAGUGUGAAAGCCCCCGGCUCAACUGGGGAGGGUCACUCGAUACUGAUCGACUUGAAGGCAGGAGAGGGAAGCGGAAUUCCCGGUGUAGUGGUGAAAUGCGUAGAUAUCGGGAGGAACAUCAGUGGCGAAGGCGGCUGCCUGGCCCAAUACUGACACUCAGGUGCGACAGCGUGGGGAGCAAACAGG
rnacentral:rRNA from 1 species